CUGCUGAAAAUUUCACCACUGUCUGAAAGCUUUGAUAUCGACUUGCUGAGUGGUUUGGAAUGGCUCACUGCAAUCUUAGGACCCCCUAGAUGCCAGCUGCAGAGAUGGUGCCACAGAAAUGAACAAGAUGAGAAGGAGGGUCACCAUCAUCAAACGGCGUUUGGCUUGCUGGUCUGUUUGUGCUCAGAGCAGCACUGAAGAUAUCUAUUCUUUUGGUCAACCUGUGUUUCAAACUGCAUCCUGAAAGAUGUGGAUGUAGUGUAACAAAACCUUGUUAAUUUGAAUUAAUUGGUGGGAACGACAGUCUAAAUAAGAAAAUUUGAACCCAAUCAGAGAUCUAAAAGAAACACAUUUUUGUUAUUUACAAGAAACUUGCACCAGAGAAAACUGGAGGGCUCAAGAAAGGUCUCUGGUCCUUGGGUAGCAUAAGACUGAAGUGUCCUUUUACAGAGAAACCACGGAGACCAGAGAGAUCAAGUGAUUUUCCCCAAACUCCCACAGCUGGAAGAUGGUCAGAGAAAUGCCAGAAUCCAGUCUUUCCAGAACAGGGCUGUCUGCUCCCAUCCGUGCUGUAUUUAGACUUAACAAAGUGUUGCCCUUUUCAUGUAACUUUUCAUGAAUGGAUUAAAAAAUUAUGAUAUUUAUUUGUA